ACACUGAUGAGGAGUCCCACAAUAGGACGAAACGGCCGUUCAGUGC
rnacentral:hammerhead_ribozyme from 1 species